rnacentral:rRNA from 1 species
UACGGAGGGUGCAAGCGUUAUCCGGAUUCACUGGGUUUAAAGGGUGCGUAGGUGGGUUGGUAAGUCAGUGGUGAAAUCCCCGAGCUUAACUUGGGAACUGCCAUUGAUACUAUCAGUCUUGAAUACCGUGGAGGUCAGCGGAAUAUGUCAUGUAGCGGUGAAAUGCUUAGAUAUGACAUAGAACACCAAUUGCGAAGGCAGCUGGCUAGACGAAUAUUGACACUGAGGCACGAAAGCGUGGGGAUCAAACAGG